rnacentral:rRNA from 1 species
UUGGUAAGGUAACGGCUUACCAAGGCAACGAUGCAUAGCCGACCUGAGAGGGUGAUCGGCCACACUGGAACUGAGACACGGUCCAGACUCCUACGGGAGGCAGCAGUAGGGAAUCUUCCGCAAUGGGCGAAAGCCUGACGGAGCAACGCCGCGUGAGUGAUGAAGGUCUUCGGAUCGUAAAACUCUGUUAUUAGGGAAGAACAUAUGUGUAAGUAACUGUGCACAUCUUGACGGUACCUAAUCAGAAAGCCACGGCUAACUACGUGCCAGCAGCCGCGGUAAUACGUAGGUGGCAAGCGUUAUCCGGAAUUAUUGGGCGUAAAGCGCGCGUAGGCGGUUUUUUAAGUCUGAUGUGAAAGCCCACGGCUCAACCGUGGAGGGUCAUUGGAAACUGGAAAACUUGAGUGCAGAAGAGGAAAGUGGAAUUCCAUGUGUAGCGG